UAAACUAUGCAACACAGCCAGCAUAAUUGAAAGCAGCCGGCUAAGCUCAGCUGCUUGGGAAGCCCAGCUCCACAAGGGGUUUGCUGAAAUUUCAGUGAAGGUUAAUGGACAAAGGCAGGCUUCAGCACAGUAGGAAGGAACCAAGGUAGUUAGAGGAUGAAUCAAACGCGAAGAAAUGCCUAUGACAGUGCCUGCCAUGACACUUCAGACCCUAGAGACAAUGGUGGCAUCACAGGAAACGUUGAGGGUCAUCAAGAUUUCAGAGACAAUGCGAAGACACUGUCAUUUUGUCAGGAAGAUCAGUCACGGAUGACAGGUGUCCUCCGCCAUCUGGAAACUUCUUUGUGAAGGUAGAGUGCUGCAGAGAGCCUCUGUUCUCGGCUCCGGGAUCCUGUAUGGCAGUGACAGAAUGGAGCAUCCAGGCUGGUCAGAGGAAGUUUCUUCCAAACAGUGUACAAGGAAGAUAGUGAUCUACGAGAACUUUGCUACCUCCCAUGCUUUUGCUUGUUUACUUGGUGCUCAAGCAUUUUUAUAGUCUUUUAGCCAGCAUGCUUUGUGGCUUCCCAGAAAGACACAGAUAAAGUUGUCAGUUACUCAAA